AUUGAACGCUGGCGGCAGGCUUAACACAUGCAAGUCGAACGGCAGCAUGACUUAGGAAACUAAGUUGAUGGCGAGUGGCGCACGGGUGAGUAACGCGUAGGAAUAUAUCUUAAAGAAGGGGACAACUUGGGGAAACUCAAGCUAAUACCGUAUAAGCUCUGAGGAGGGAAGCUGGGGACCGCAAGGCCUGGCGCUUUAAGCAUAGCCUGCGUCCGAUUAGCUAGUUGGUUAGGUAAAGGCUGACCAAGGCGAUGAUCGGUAGCUGGUCUGAGAGGACGGCCAGCCACACUGGGACUGAGACACGGCCCAGACUCCUACGGGAGGCAGCAGUGGGGAAUCUUGGACAAUGGGGGAACCCUGAUCCAGCAAUGCCGCGUGUGUGAAGAAGGCCUGCGGGUUGUAAAGCACUUUUGUUGGGGAGGAGGAUACUUUGGUUAAGAGCUGAAUUAUUGGACGAUACCCAAAGAAACAGCACCGGCUAACUCCGUGCCAGCCGCCGCCGUAA
rnacentral:rRNA from 1 species